UACGAAGGGGGCUAGCGUUGCUCGGAAUCACUGGGCGUAAAGGGCGCGUAGGCGGCGUUUUAAGUCGGGGGUGAAAGCCUGUGGCUCAACCACAGAAUGGCCUUCGAUACUGGGACGCUUGAGUAUGGUAGAGGUUGGUGGAACUGCGAGUGUAGAGGUGAAAUUCGUAGAUAUUCGGCAAGAACACCGGUGGCGAAGGCGGCCAACUGGACCAUUACUGACGCUGAGGCGCGAAAGCGUGGGGAGCAAACAGG
rnacentral:rRNA from 1 species